GUGAACAUGGGAAAGAACAGUGACAUGCACAAGUUAGGCAAUCUCCUGCCACUGUACUGCAAUGACCUCAACCAACAAUAUUGUGCAAGAUAGAGCACGGGUUGCACGUGCUGCAGACCAAAAGGGCAGAAAACCAAGGAAACCAAAUAUUCCCACUGCCCUGCUACAGAGUCAGACACAAGAAUGAGACUUGCACAGAGAGGGAGCUGAUUUGUCUUCUGUUUGUUGUCAGUCACGGUCCAGCUGAGCCACAAGCUUGUGGAGCAGAAAAGGCCACAGAACUGCUAUUCUUCAUCGCUCUUGAACCAGCCAUGACGAAGUCCAGCACUUAACACUGGUUAAUCAGUGUUGUUCAACAGUGCCACUGGAAAAUGCUUUAUUUCAUCUUUGGACUGGAUUCCUCAAAACUUCCUCUGUCAUUCAUCUGUUAAGUGUGUCUGUGAAGUGAUCAAACGUGAGAUGUCCCUGUGCGUCUGGUCCCUAAGGGAACCUAGACUGGAACAGCAAAUAGUCACUAACCAUUUUCCCCAACAUUCUUCAUGCUUUUCUCACUGGUUAUACGAAUCACGUGAUGUGAAAAAACUUGUGCAGCAAGUAUGCUCUGGUCAUUUACGUUUCGGAAGAACAAUCACCGUCGGAAAGAAGAUGUUAGAAAGUAACACACCCACAAUAUCUAACCUUUAUCUUACUCAUGAACUGUGUCUGAAGGACCAAAGAUAAGUGGGUAGGAGGCAACAAACUGCUAGAUUAAAAUUGUUAUGACAGGCUGGAUCUGGCUCAUAAAACUUUUUUGUUUUUUAAGGCUUUCUGAUAGAGUUAAGCUUCCUAGCUUGUGCAAAUAGUGUCAUAUAACUGGCAGACGCACUUGAAUUGAUGAGAGGUUCUUGGCUAUCUUAGAAAAUUGGUGUAGUUGCCUUGGAUUCACAAUAAAUGCCUAGAAGACAAAGUGACUGUAUCUAGAAAAAGGGAAAACAUAUUAAGGGUUGAAAUGAAGCAGGGAUAAUCUUUUAAUACACAAUCUUGUUUGUACACCUAGGAACCUUGACCAGUGUUGACGAGCUUACAAGAGUAGAUGCUUCAGCCACAGGAGUUGCAAAGUUUGAUAUAAUUCCACAUAGCAUAAAAACAAGAUCUUUGGAGAGAAAUUUACCUGAAGUGAAAGUUUGAAUUUGGGAGACAAUGAAUGUUUGUCAUCUUGCAAACUAGGCAUGUGGCUGCUGAUCAGGAAGACUCUUUCUCUUGGGUCCACCAAAUAGCUGUUCUUUUAUAUUAAGUCUGCUCAAUUCCAUGCCCCAUUACAGGAUUCUCUGCAUAGUUUUUCUAAUGUACAAGGUGCUAGUGCCAGCACUGUGUAGUCAGGACCUCUGAAGAAAUACUAUGUACCCGCUUCAGCAAGCAAGAGAACAAUACUGAGAAAUACUGGAGACAUCAAAUCCCUGAGACCUUACUAAAAUUUAAACAGCGUUUACUGAAUCUGUGCUCUUUCCGUGUAGUGGCAAUAAAUUUUGUCUGUAGAAUUGUUUGGAUUGGAGACACAUUCUUUCCUCAUGAAUAUUUUUAAACAGGACACAUUCCAGAUGCUUGCUCACUGUGUCCCAG
ensembl:lncRNA